UGUGUAUGAUUUAGUAUGGUGAUAUUUG
rnacentral:piRNA from 1 species